GGUCGCGGCCAACAGCGCCCGCCGCCACCUGCCCGCGGCCUCCCCGCCGACUCUUGCGGACCUUUUUGCCACUUUGUCACCCACCCCCAGCUCCAGUAUUGCCGCUUCGACUGCACUGGUAUAAAAGUUGGUAACUCUGUCGUUAAAGCCACUGUUUUCUUAAGCGUCUCACACCAGCCCUGGCGAAGAAAGACCUUGUGGAAAACUUGGUAAAACUCUCUGGGGCAUGUUUAGGAGAAGGUCCAGGGUCCCAGCAAGCCUUCCACGGUGGCCACCUGGACAGUCUCUGCAGACCUGCCUUUCCAGCCCUCCAACACCACGGAGCGCAGCUUCAUUCUCCGCAUAGCCACUCUGCUUCUCAGAUGAGUAAUAAAGAAACCGUUCUCCUAUCUACUGGGCAUUAUCUCAAGCACCAAAUGGGCUGACCGAGGACAAACAUCAGUACGAGGGCCUCAGCCCUGAAAAUUCCCUGGCAGUGCUGGACAUUAAUUUAAGA